UACUUACAAGACAGUAAGACAGUACUGC
rnacentral:sRNA from 1 species